CUACGGGCGGCUGCAGUGGGGAAUAUUGCACAAUGGGCGCAAGCCUGAUGCAGCCAUGCCGCGUGUAUGAAGAAGGCCUUCGGGUUGUAAAGUACUUUCAGCGGGGAGGAAGGGAGUAAAGUUAAUACCUUUGCUCAUUGACGUUACCCGCAGAAGAAGCACCGGCUAACUCCGUGCCAGCAGCCGCGGUAAUACGGAGGGUGCAAGCGUUAAGCGGAAUUACUGGGCGUAAAGCGCACGUAGGCGGUGUGUUAAGUCAGAGGUGAAAUCCCCGGGCUCAACCUGGGAACUGCAUCUGAUACUGGCAAGCUUGAGUCUCGUAGAGGGGGGUAGAAUUCCAGGUGUAGCGGUGAAAUGCGUAGAGAUCUGGAGGAAUACCGGUGGCGAAGGCGGCCCCCUGGACGAAGACUGACGCUCAGGUGCGAAAGCGUGGGGAGCAAACAGGAUUAGAUACCCCUGUAGUC
rnacentral:rRNA from 1 species